rnacentral:rRNA from 1 species
GUUAUAGGGUCAAGCGAACAAGUGCAUGUGGUGGAUGCCUUGGCGAUCACAGGCGAUGAAGGACGCGGUAGCCUGCGAAAAGCUACGGGGAGCUGGCAAACAAGCUUUGAUCCGUAGAUGUCCGAAUGGGGAAACCCACUCCUUUUGGAGUAUCCAUGGCUGAAUACAUAGGCCAUGCGAAGCGAACGCGGUGAACUGAAACAUCUAAGUAACCGCAGGAAAAGAAAUCAACCGAGAUUCCCAAAGUAGUGGCGAGCGAAAUGGGAUGAGCCUUGUACUCUUUAUUUGUAUUGUUAGCCGAACGCUCUGGAAAGUGCGGCCAUAGCGGGUGAUAGCCCCGUAGGCGAAAACAGUAUGAAAGAACUAGGUGUACGACAAGUAGGGCGGGACACGUGAAAUCCUGUCUGAAGAUGGGGGGACCAUCCUCCAAGGCUAAAUACUCGUGAUCGACCGAUAGUGAACCAGUACCGUGAGGGAAAGGUGAAAAGAACCCCGGGAGGGGAGUGAAAUAGAUCCUGAAACCGCAUGCAUACAAACAGUCGGAGCCUCGUAAGGGGUGACGGCGUACCUUUUGUAUAAUGGGUCAGCGACUUACGUUCAGUAGCAAGCUUAACCGUAUAGGGCAGGCGUAGCGAAAGCGAGUCCGAAUAGGGCGUUCAGUUGCUGGGCGUAGACCCGAAACCAAGUGAUCUAUCCAUGGCCAGGAUGAAGGUGCGGUAACACGUACUGGAGGUCCGAACCCACUAACGUUGAAAAGUUAGGGGAUGAGCUGUGGAUAGGGGUGAAAGGCUAAACAAACUUGGAAAUAGCUGGUUCUCUCCGAAAACUAUUUAGGUAGUGCCUCGUGUCUCACCUUCGGGGGUAGAGCACUGUCAUGGUUGGGGGGUCUAUUGCAGAUUACCCCGCCAUAGCAAACUCCGAAUACCGAAGAGUGCAAUCACGGGAGACAGACAUCGGGUGCUAACGUCCGGUGUCAAGAGGGAAACAACCCA